CCUACGGGGGGCAGCAGUGGGGGAUAUUGCACAAUGGGGGAAACCCUGAUGCAGCGACGCCGCGUGUGGGAAGACGGUCCUCUGGAUUGUAAACCACUGUCCCCAGGGACGAAGAUGACGGUACCUGGGGAGGAAGCUCCGGCUAACUACGUGCCAGCAGCCGCGGUAAUACGUAGGGAGCGAGCGUUGUCCGGAAUUACUGGGUGUAAAGGGAGCGUAGGCGGGACUGCAAGUUGGGUGUCAAAUCUACCGGCUCAACCGGUAGCCGCACUCAAAACUGCAGUUCUUGAGUGAAGUAGAGGCAGGCGGAAUUCCUAGUGUAGCGGUGAAAUGCGGAGAUAGUAGGAGGAACACCAGUGGCGAAGGCGGCCUGCUGGGCUUUUACUGACGCUGAGGCUCGAAAGUGUGGGGAGCAAACAGGAUUAGAUACCCGAGUAGUC
rnacentral:rRNA from 1 species